rnacentral:rRNA from 1 species
CCUACGGGGGGCAGCAGUGAGGAAUAUUGGUCAAUGGACGAGAGUCUGAACCAGCCAAGUAGCGUGAAGGAUGACUGCCCUAUGGGUUGUAAACUUCUUUUAUAUGGGAAUAAAAUGUUCCACGUGUGGGAUUUUGUAUGUACCAUAUGAAUAAGGAUCGGCUAACUCCGUGCCAGCAGCCGCGGUAAUACGGAGGAUCCGAGCGUUAUCCGGUUUUAUUGGGUUUAAAGGGAGCGUAGGUGGAUUGUUAAGUCAGUUGUGAAAGUUUGCGGCUCAACCGUAAAAUUGCAGUUGAAACUGGCAGUCUUGAGUACAGUAGAGGUGGGCGGAAGUCGUGGUGUAGCGGUGAAAUGCUUAGAUAUCACGAAGAACUCCGAUUGCGAAGGCAGUUCACUGGACUGCAACUGACACUGAGGCUCGAAAGUGUGGGUAUCAAACAGGAUUAGAUACCCUUGUAGUC